GGAUGCGAUCAUACCAGCACUAAAGCACCGGAUCCCAUCAGAACUCCGUAGUUAAGCGUGCUUGGGCGAGAGUAGUACUGGGAUGGGUGACCUCUUGGGAAGUCCUCGUGUUGCAUUCC
rnacentral:rRNA from 1 species